UGAUUUUAAUGAGUGCAUUGAUUAAAAAUAUGAAUGCAAGCUUCUGCUUGACAAUGGCAGAGCCCAAUGAGAGGACACAAAAGACAGCAGCGGUGAUCCUGAGGUUGACUUAAUACAAGGUUGACACAGAAGGCAUAAAGAACAUGUUCCCCGUAGAGAGUAAAGCCGGGAGCCAAGGUCGAUAGAACUGCGAGAGAAGUUAGCUAUUAAAACAAACGGUGAUGUGCAGCAUCAGAGUAACUUCCUAAGAAAUACAACGCGGCGUACGGCAGCACAGGUAGUCGUCUGACAGAGACUAAUAACUCUGGAUACCUGCUGGAAAAGGUUCAAUAAAGAAGCAAGCCAGAAUGAACAGAAUGUUUUUCUCUGAACCGUAAAAGUUGCUGAGCCUGAACACUAGUGAAAUGUUUUCUCAGAAAAACGAGGAAAAACAAAUAUUAAGUGAAAAAAAAGGGAAGCUGACAUUUAAAAUAACCACUGUGGGGAUAAGGCGAUGGAGUAAAAAAUGCAAAAAAAAAAGACAAAA